GUUCCUUCGAUACGCAUAGCAACGAUCCCACUGGGGACAAACAAAAGUAGCGUCGUCUCCACCGAACCAGUUGUCAGUGGCAACAUAUAGGAAUCGUGUACAUUUCUUCGUUUCUUCUUUGCUGUUUUCAGUGAGUGUUUUGUUUUCUCUUUGUCCUUGAUCUCGACGGUGUUGUCGUGCUCAUUACCUUACUGAGACGUCUCUUGUGACUGUAGCCAGUGUCACGGAGGAUUUUAUUGCCGUGACGAGGUAGAUCGCCGAGAUCGAGCGUGAAAAACGCUCUGCAUUAGUAGCUCCUGUAGAAUGUCUUCUGGGAUGGCGUAUCCAUGGUCAACAAAGCCAAGGUGCAAGACAGCAUAAGAGAUCGUGUAAACGAUGGGAACUCCAAAAGAUAAUCUGGACAAAUAAAUUAUAUUGUAACUGGAGAGAGCAAUCGUGCUUGGGACCCAUCCCAAUGUCAUCACAUGGCUGUGAUGACUAGUGUAUACCUGGGAGAGUUUUUCCUCAACUGAGACGGAGUGUAGGUGGAUGGAUUAUGAGAAAUGCGAAGAUGUGGAGUCCAAGGCUAGAUGCACUUCACAUUCGGCGUGCGAUCUCGGCGUCUGGGACCUGAUAACGUCUUGGUUGGAUGGGUAAUCAAGGACGAUACUACUCGGCACACCAAUGUACAUGUCAAUGUAAUUUUUUACUCUUUCAGAGCUGCACUAUUUAUGGACGAAUGUGUCUGUUAGAGAGGAAAUAAAUAGUAUUCACAAACAAGUCCCACUUAUUGUUUCUGUUCGUAAAAGGAAAUUGCAAUUUUUUGGUCAUAUUGUUCGUUCCGGCUGUUUGUCAUUGACUGUUCUUCAGGGUUGUGUUGCUGGAGGUCGUUGCCGAGGCAGGCCCAGAAUGUCAUGGCUUGAUAAUAAUUAUUAUUUCAUGGACUGCACUUGACGUGCAGUCCCUGCUCGCUGCUGCACGCGAUCGAUUUUUAUGGCGCUCACUUGUUCAUACUUGCUCUGUGACGCCCCGACGACCUUAGGGCUAUGGGCUUGUGGUGAUGACUAUUUACGUCUUGAUGCUUACUUCGGUGCUAGCGUGUUUCCUCCGGAUUAUUUCUAUCAUCAUGCGUGUUCUUGGGCUGAGUGAGCACAUGCACGAGUGUGCAGCUAUAACCCCGUGUAUCUUUGGUUUCACUUUGUUCUGCAAUGCAUAUACCUUGUAACAGUAUGUGCUUGCACUGCUUUGUGUGGCCUGCGUAUUUCAGGACUAUUCAGUGCAUUAGACCCAGGUUGGUUUGGUUGCCGGAUGAUCUCUUGUUGCGUCGCUCUGUGUUUUGUAUUCAUCAAUUUUUGGGCUUGAGAAUUGAGCUGGUGUGUGGUUCCCAAUAUCAAAACAUCAUGCUGGUGCUCUGUGUUUUGAUUAUCGACUGUCCGAGCAGUCGCGAUUCAUUACCAGAACGGUCAAUACUGUAGUCUCUUGACGUGUUUGUCUUUUUGUGUUUUCGCCGGGGGAAUUAGCAGUGACGUUGCACAUAGAACGGCAGUGUUGCAUCACUGGACGACCCUGCCUCUGACUUCAUGUCCCCAGGAUGUGGUGCAGAUA